UGAACUUGGAAUACAUAAACAAUUCGAAUGGAAAGGUAUUAAAUAAAUUAAGUACCAUACAUAAACUGUAAGUCGCGAGAGUACAAAUGUUUGCCUACAAAAUAUGCUUGUUUUGAUACCAAGCUAUCAUGAUAUACAACCUCGCACCACAAAGCUUAACUACUUUACUUCAUUCAUCACAUACAAGACUUUCAACCUCCACAAAUAAUAAGGACAAGCUGAUUCAGUUUUAAUUGAGAAAAUUAGGCUAGCCACUUCGAUAAGUAUCUUCAAGUCAAGCCAGCCACUUCCCUUUAGCGUCCACAUUUGCAACUAUUUUCUCCAUCUUGAUGCUCACUUUAACCAAAAUCUGAAGCUCCUCUUCGUCACUUAUCCUUACCCAAGAUUUGAACAUGCGGGACAUUUCUUCAUCAGUGUCAUUCAUCACAGGGUUAGGGAAUGUCGUGCUAUCACGACUACAUUGACCGCUUGAGUCUUCUUUCACGACCCACUCCCAAAAUCCACAAUUCCGGUUGCAACAAAGGAAUAGUUUCCCUUUAUUGUGAUUUUCCUUCUCCACCACAAAACAUUUUUCAAAUUCAUACUUACAUCGCGAGUAAGGGCGUUUCUUUUUGCAUUCGACAAACAAAUGAUCCUUAGCUCUACAACUAUAACAAAUUUCGGAGUUCCUUCCGGGCAUUCUACGAUGGGAAUAAAAAAC
rnacentral:lncRNA from 1 species